ensembl:snRNA U6 U6 spliceosomal RNA
GUGUUUGCUUCGGCAGCACAUAUACUACAAUUGGAACAAUACAGAGAAAAUUAGUAUGGCCCCUGCGCAAGGAUGACACGCAAAUUUAUGAAGCAUUCCAUAUUUUU